GGUCCGGUAGUUCAGUUUGGUUAGAAUACGUGCCUGUCACGCACGGGGUCGCGGGUUCGAGUCCCGUCCGGACCGCUA
rnacentral:tRNA from 1 species